rnacentral:rRNA from 1 species
UGGGGAAUAUUGGACAAUGGGCGAAAGCCUGAUCCAGCCAUGCCGCGUGUGUGAAGAAGGUCUUCGGAUUGUAAAGCACUUUAAGUUGGGAGGAAGGGCAGUAAGCGAACACCUUGCUGUUUUGACGUUACCGACAGAAUAAGCACCGGCUAACUCUGUGCCAGCAGCCGCGGUAAUACAGAGGGUGCAAGCGUUAAUCGGAAUUACUGGGCGUAAAGCGCGCGUAGGUGGUUCGUUAAGUUGAAUGUGAAAGCCCCGGGCUCAACCUGGGAACUGCAUCCAAAACUGGCGAGCUAGAGUAGGGCAGAGGGUGGUGGAAUUUCCUGUGUAGCGGUGAAAUGCGUAGAUAUAGGAAGGAACACCAGUGGCGAAGGCGACCACCUGGGCUCAUACUGACACUGAGGUGCGAAAGCGUGGGGAGCAAACAGG